rnacentral:rRNA from 1 species
UACGUAGGGGGCGAGCGUUGUCCGAAGUUACUGGGCGUAAAGCGCGCGUAGGCGGGGGGUUAAGUGAGAGGUGAAAGGCUGGGGCUCAACCUCAUGCAGUGCCUCUCAUACUGGCCUUCUUGAGGGCGGUAGGGAGAAGUGGAAUGGCUGGUGUAGCGGUGAAAUGCGUAGAUAUCUGGAGGAACACCGGUGGCGAAGGCGGCAUCCUGGACCAUGACUGACGCUGAGGAGCGAAAGCCAGGGGAGCAAACGGG